CCCAGGAGGACAACCAUCUUCUCACC
rnacentral:piRNA from 1 species